rnacentral:lncRNA from 1 species
GAAUCUCGAGGAUGAGAUUCAAUUUAAGUGGGGUAGGUUUGUAACAUCCGCAGAAAUCACCAACUAAAAUCACCCGUUAAAAUUGCCUUUAAAAUCUUUUUACCGCUGAGCUCCCGGAAAUCGGAAAUCUCCCCGGCGAUUUCGCCAUCCCGGCACCCAUGCCGACCCCUACCUUUUUAUCUGUGCCCGUAAAUCUCGCCACGUGCCGUCGACAAACCGCCGCGCGCGUGCUCCAACCGCGUGCCGCAUCGCCGCCGGUCCCUCUCUUUUUCUUUCUCUUUUCCCUCCCCUUUUCCUUCUCUUUUUCCUUCCUUUUUCUUUCUCUUUCUUCUUUCUUCCUCC